GGUAAACACAGAGAGGAGUUAAACAUACACACUGGGAGAGACUGAGAGGCUGCUGUGGUACUACAGGCGCUUUCCUGUCUUCAUAAUAACAUUACAAAAAAAGCAAAUAACAUUAAUGGUCACGGAAAGCCUGGCGCCUAUCUCUGGGGACUCAGGGCACAAGGCAAGGGACACCCUGGACAGGGUACCAACCCAUCACAAGGCACAAUACACUUUCACACAUUCACACACCCAUUCACACACUACGGCCGAUUUAGAGAUGCCAAUCAGCCUAUAGCACAUGACUUUGGACUAGGGAAGGAAACUGGAGUACCUGGAGGAAACCCCUGAAGCACGGUGAGAACAUGCAAGCUUCAUGCACAAAGGGCGGAGGCGGGAAUCAACCACCGCAACCUUGGAGGUGUGAGGCAAAUGUUAUUAUUAUUAUUAUUAUUAUUAUUAUUAUUAUCAUCAUCACCAUCAUUGUUUGCCAUAUCAGUGUUUCCAUACAAGUGUCCUCAUGCAUAAUACAUGUUCUUCAUAAUACUGAAAUAAAAAGUGUGUAACCUUAGUGUGGGGCUUUUUCUACAACCACCAGAGUUGUUUUUUAUUACCAUUUUCAAUACAGUCCUGCGGCAUAUGAUUAUCACUUUUAUUAUUGUUGUUGUUGUUGUUUGCUUGCUUGCUUGUUGUUGUUGUUGCUGCUGUUUCAUUUCAGGUGUUAUACAGGUAUUAUACAGCUGUCCUCAUGCACAAACUCAAAAUCCACAUAAAAAAAAAAUCCAAAUUAGGUCGUCACAAUACUGAAACCAAAAGCAUGUAACAUUAACAGCUCUUUGACUGGAGUUAUAUUUUAUUAUCAUUUCCAAUAACCUCUUGUGGCAUAUUCUGAUGAUGAUGAUUAUUAUUAUUAUUAUUAUUAUUAUAAAACCCUUUAAUACUGAUACAAAAAGUGUGUAACAUUAACAUUUCUAAAACCACUGCAGUUGUGUUUGUGUAUUACCAUUUUCAGAACCGUCUUAUGGAUUGCUUGUUUAUCUAUCUGUCUGUCUGUCUGUCUGUCUGUCUGUCUAUCUAUCUGUCCCAGGUGUCUCGAUUUAGCCAUCUUCAUGCACAAAGUAAAAAUUCUAAAUUUGUACUUCAUAAUAUUGAAACAGGAGAGUGUGUGACAUUAACAUGUGGCCUUUUCUCCAAACACUUUAGCUGUGUUUUGUCAGUUUAUUUGUUUGUUUAUUUAUUUACUUAUUUCAAUACGUUCUCCAUACAGCCAUCUUUAUGCACAAGCUCAGAAUUCAAACAGAACUAAACUAAAAGUAAAAAAUGGAAAAGCUCCUUCACCUCCAUAUGAAGCAACAAACGAAGGUAGACAAUGAUGAUGAUAUUGAUGAUGAUGUUGAUGAUGAUGAUGAUGAUGAUGAAACUCAUGCGUUUAUGAUUUAUUAUAAUCUAUGUCUGAUUAGGUUUGUAUGCUACAUCAGUACAGUUAUAUGGGUUAUGUAUAAAUUCUGCACAUAGUCGCAAUGUUUCCAGCAUGCCUUAUAGACUCAGACACAAGGUUUGCACACCAACUAUAAACCUGAACACACACACACACACACACACACACACACACACAUCUACCUUACAGGAAUGCACCUCAGAGCACGCGACCAACAGGUUUAAUCCAUCAUACACUAAUAAAGUGGCUUUUUAAAAAUAUGUUUCUUUCUGUUCUUUAAGUAUAUUUUGUUAUCCUACCUCCUCACACUUUUCUCCACAGUCUUCAUUUUUUAACACAAAAGAGCAAAGGCGAGUCUGG